UGCCUACACAUGCAAGUCGAACGGCAGCACAGGUAGCAAUACCGGGUGGCGAGUGGCGGACGGGUGAGGAAUACAUCGGGACCUGCCCAGUACGUGGGGGAUAACGUAGGGAAACUUACGCUAAUACCGCAUACGUCCUACGGGAGAAAGCGGGGGAUCGCAAGACCUCGCGCGGUUGGAUGGACCGAUGUUCGAUUAGCUAGUUGGUGGGGUAAUGGCUCACCAAGGCGACGAUCGAUAGCUGGUCUGAGAGGAUGAUCAGCCACACUGGGACUGAGACACGGCCANCACUCCUACUAGAGGCAGCAGUGGGGAAUAUUGGACAAUGGGCGCAAGCCUGAUCCAGCAAUGCCGCGUGUGUGAAGAAGGCCUUCGGGUUGUAAAGCACUUUUAUCAGGAGCGAAAUACCACGGGCUAAUACUCUGUGGGGCUGACGGUACCUGAGGAAUAAGCACCGGCUAACUUCGUGCC
rnacentral:rRNA from 1 species